UGAUUAUCCUGAAAAGUAUUAAUUUACCUGUCAAUAGAUGAAAAGCAUUUCUUGAUUUUUAUUUUUCUCAUUUGGUUCUGUUUUAAGCAUGUUGCUUGUUUUUGGUUCUUUGUGCUUUACAUGUUGUGGUGAUUUCUUCAUCCCACAACCCCAACACACACACCACCACCAAAAAGAAAAGGAAAAAAACCUCUCCUUUGCUGGGUUAAGAACAGAAAGGGCUAUAUUUUUCUCACCAUUUUUUUAAAAGCAUUGUUUUGGAUAAUAUUAAAAUUGAUUAUCAGUGACAAUUUUAAAGGUGACUGUUUAUUUAUAUUUCAGGUUUGUUGUAACUGCAGUUUGA
rnacentral:misc_RNA from 1 species